rnacentral:misc_RNA from 1 species
UUUCCGUAGGUGAACCUGCGGAAGGAUCAUUAUUGAGUUUUGGAUGAAGUUGUUCUGGUCUUUCGGGGCAAGUGAACGCUUCUCUCAAUCCAUCUUACACCUGUGCACCUAUCGGGGAAGACUUGGAUCUAAGUUGGGUCACGACGGCGAUCUACAGUCUCCUCUUUAUACCAAAUAACAGUUUUAGAAAGUCUUUUUUGCUUGAUGCAAACUUAAAUAAAUACAACUUUCAGCAACGGAUCUCUUGGCUCUC